rnacentral:rRNA from 1 species
UACAGAGGGGUCAAGCGUUGUUCGGAAUUACUGGGCGUAAAGGGCGCGUAGGCGGCCUGCUAAGUCGAACGUGAAAUCCCUGGGCUCAACCCAGGAACUGCGUCCCAUACUGCUUGGCUUGAGUACGGGAGAGGAUGUGGGAAUUCCUGGUGUAGCGGUGAAAUGCGUAGAUAUCAGGAGGAACACCGGUGGCGAAGGCGCACAUCUGGCCCGAUACUGACGCUGAGGCGCGAAAGCGUGGGGAGCAAACAGG